CAGUAGCCGCGGGAACACAGAGGGUGCAAGCGUUAAUCGGAUUUACUGGGCGUAAAGGGCGCGUAGGUGGUUAUGUAAGUCUGAUGUGAAAGCCCACGGCUCAACCGGGGAGGGUCAUUGGAAACUGGGAAACUUGAGUGCAGAAGAGGAGAGUGGAAUUCCACGUGUAGCGGUGAAAUGCGUAGAGAUGUGGAGGAACACCAGUGGCGAAGGCGACUCUCUGGUCUGUAACUGACGCUGAGGAGCGAAAGCGUGGGGAGCGAACAGGAUUAGAUACCCCUGUAGUCCCUGUCUCUUAUAA
rnacentral:rRNA from 1 species